UAGGAGAUGUUUUUCUGGCACAUAUUUUACCAUAUCAUCUGAAAAACUCCUCAUGACGCCAUAGCACCCAUUGAAAUAGAGUGUUUGGAAAAAAAACGAAAUCUUUUGGUCCAGUGUAGAGGGCGUAGUCAGAAGAAAACGGCAACCAAUAGAAGUAAUACUCAUCAUCACUUCUAUUGGUUUCUGACACGUCCAUCAACCGCCAGCACUCACCCCUCCUCCCUGCGCGUUCACCGACUCGUGAACUUGACCGACCCCGCCCCCAUCAUUCAUGCACACGCGACAAGGCUCAUCAUCACUCGGCUAGUAGCAAGGUAACGAGAGUUAGCAGCAGGCUGAGCUACUUGGAAACUUUGGUGGCUUUUGCAGAGCUACAGGAAGAACUUUGGCUUUUGGAACACUAGACUAACCAUGUCAGGAUAACAUACUCCCUUGGAUUAUCAUCGGACUCGCAAGACCAGACUCCAACACGGGCUGAAAAUUUGAAAUGGGACCUGACACUCUUGGACACAGAUGUCGGCUACGGCAGCGGCUUCAAAUACGCUUUGGUGACCAUAUUUCUAAUCGAGAGUUGUGCGAACGAGCCAGACAAACCAGCUGGGAGGAGGACGGAAGCACCCCUUCUCCAUCCGCGUUCAGUUGCUAAAUACGGAUCCACCCCGUAGUGUGGUGUUUUCCAUAGCUGUUCCUUGCUCCUGUUUCACAACAUAUCAAGGCUGCCAAGUAAAUGAAGAAUGAAUCACCGCACACUGGUAGUUUAUUUUAUUCAUGUUUGUGGGUGUAAUUUCGUCCAGUUGCAGAUACUACUAUCCUUUUUGGAAUGAUCUGCCUUUGAAAAACAAUGGUUCUAUCUGACAAAAGCGAACAGAUCCUGUAGUUGUAAUUGAUACACUAAAUCAGUGUUUCUCAACCUUUUUUUAGGCGCGGCACCCUUUCAAUUCAUGGAAAAUUUCAAGGCACCCCAAACCAAGUAGCCAUAUAGCAUCACAUCCGAUACCACACAAGCUUAGAAUGUAACACAUUUGGAGACACACAACCUAGUAGCACGACCUACGUUCAAAGUUGCAGCUGGGGUGACCAAUAUUUACUUUAUUGUGGGUAAAUGGCAGAUCAAAGAUUCCACUGACUAACAUUAACUUAUCAAUUUUGACAAAUAUGUUUUAUGUUAUAUAAUUUAUUUAUCAGCCAUGUUUCCGCGGCACCCCUGAGGGGGCCCUACGGCACCCCAGGGUGCCCCGGCACCCCUGUUGAGAAACACUGCACUAAAUUAUGAUAUUCCUAUGUGUGCGCGCACACGCGCCAAGUUUUCAAUUCAACACACUGGGACACUUUUCAGUCUUUGAGGUUGCUGGAAUCAACACAGACUACCUCCAUGCACCUUAUCAGAACACUUUGCAUGUUUUUGUAUACUUGUCCCCUUUGUGUAUUGCUGCUAAUCUUUCUCUUUCUAGGUUCUGUUGGUUGCAUGCAGAUUGUGCCAGAUGAUUUAUCUGUCUAUGGUCUAAGCAUGGGCUCUGUGCUAAUAUGCAAUUUGUGCUCUUUUUUCC